GCCUACGGGGGGCAGCAGUAGGGAAUCUUCCACAAUGGGCGUAAGCCUGAUGGAGCAACGCCGCGUGGGUGAAGAAGGUCUUCGGAUCGUAAAACCCUGUUGUUAGAGAAGAAAGUGCGUGAGAGUAACUGUUCACGUUUCGACGGUAUCUAACCAGAAAGCCACGGCUAACUACGUGCCAGCAGCCGCGGUAAUACGUAGGUGGCAAGCGUUAUCCGGAUUUAUUGGGCGUAAAGGGAACGCAGGCGGUCUUUUAAGUCUGAUGUGAAAGCCUUCGGCUUAACCGGAGUAGUGCAUUGGAAACU
rnacentral:rRNA from 1 species